rnacentral:rRNA from 1 species
AUGCGUGGAGAGAUAAGUUCUUCCUUGCUUGUUCUGCGUCAUUUGGAGCACCUAGAUCUCAGUGGGAACUAUCUUGGGGGAGUAGGCGUGCCGAUACCAAGAUUCUUGGGCUCUCUCCCGAGCUUGGUAUAUCUCAACCUCUCCUCCAUGGAUUUCGACGGGAAGGUGCCCCCUCAACUUGGCAACCUCUCCAGGUUACUAUAUCUUGACCUCAACAACAUUUGGAAUCCUAAUGUGCAUUAUGCUGAUGAUAAUAUAUUGCAUGCUGAGGAUAUAUCGUGGUUACCACGUCUUCCUUCGCUAAGGUUUCUCGACAUGAGUGGUGUGAAUCUCACCGCUGUUGGCAACUGGGUUCAAGUGCUUAGCAUGCUUUCUAAUCUGAGAGCACUUCGUCUUUCUGAAUGUUAUCUUAUCUUUCCACACACACCUAUUCUGCAUUCUAACCUCACAUCACUUGAGAUGCUUGAUCUAACAGAAAACGGGGUUGACACCUUGAAUCCAACCUACUGGUUCUGGGAUGUUGGCACCAUCAGGCAUCUUGAUCUCACGAAUAACAUAAUUUCUGAACCUUUUCUGGAUGCAAUGGGAAAUAUGACCUCCCUUGAGGUACUUAAACUUGGAGGCAAUUACCUCACAGGUGUAAGAACCGAAAUGCUGAACAAUCUGUGCAAUUUGAGAGUGCUAACACUGUGGUCAAAUCCGAUCAACCAAGACAUUUCAGAAGUUUUGAAGGGGUUGCCUCAGUGCGCAUGGAGUAAGAUAGAGUUGCUAGAUCUAUCUUGUACCAAUAUCAGUGGGGAAAUUCCAAAGUGGAUUAACCAAUGGACUAAUUUGAGCAUUCUUCAACUCUCUUCAAAUAGGCUUGUAGGAUCAAUACCUAUUGAAAUUGGUAUGCUCAGCAAACUCAACCAGUUGUAUCUCGAUGGUAAUCAGUUAAAUGGCUCUAUAUCGGAGGAACAUUUCGCCAGUUCAGUGAAUUUGGAGGAACUGGACUUGUCUUACAACUCCCUACACAUGAUGAUCAACUCGCACUGGAUUCCUCCCUUUAAACUGCAUCUGGCUUAUUUCCCUCGGAGCGAAGUUGGACCUCAGUUUCCUUUGUGGCUUAAAGGGCAGAGCAACAUUACUAAUCUUGACAUUUCUGAUGCAAGCAUAGUUGAUCAUCUCCCAGAUUGGUUUUGGACUGUAUUUUCAAAUGUUCAAUAUUUGAACAUCUCUUGUAAUCAGAUCAGUGGCAGGUUACCAAGGACACUUGAAUUUAUGCCUUCUGCUCUAAUAUUUGACCUCAACUCCAAUAACCUCACUGGUACUCUACCGCACCUACCAAGGCAUUUGAUAGAGCUUGACAUUUCCAGAAACUCUUUAUCAGGGCCACUACCGCAACAAUUUUGGGCUCCAUCCCUCAUGGAUUUAUUCUGA